UACAGAGGUCUCAAGCGUUGUUCGGAUUCAUUGGGCGUAAAGGGUGUGUAGGUGGCGCGCUAAGUCGGGUGUGAAAUUUCGGAGCUUAACUCCGAAACUGCAUUCGAUACUGCCGUGCUUUGAGGACUGGAGAGGAGACUGGAAUUUACGGUGUAGCGGUGAAAUGCGUAGAUAUCGUAAGGAAGACCAGUGGCGAAGGCGGGUCUCUGGACAGUUCCUGACGCUGAGGCACGAAAGGUCAGGGGGAGCAAAACGGGG
rnacentral:rRNA from 1 species